GAUGAACGCUGGCGGCGUGCCUAAUACAUGCAAGUCGAACGGAGUUUGUAGCAAUACAGACUUAGUGGCGAACGGGUGAGUAACGCGUUGGUGACCUGCCCCGAAGUGGGGGAUAACGGCUCGAAAGGGCUGCUAAUACCCCAUGCGGUCAUUGGGAUUAGAAUCCGAUGACCAAAGGAUUUAUUCGCUUCGGGAGGGGCCUGCGUCCCAUCAGCUAGUUGGUAGGGUAAUGGCUUACCAAGGCGAUGACGGGUAGGGGACCUGAGAGGGUGGCCCCCCACAAUGGAACUGAAACACGGUCCAUACACCUACGGGUGGCAGCAGUAGGGAAUAUUGGUUAAUGGGCGAAAGCCUGAACCAGCAACGCCGCGUGUGCGAUGAAGGCCUUCGGGUCGUAAAGCACUUUUGAAGGGGAAGAGGAAGGACGGUACCCUUCGAAUAAGCCUCGGCUAACUACGUG
rnacentral:rRNA from 1 species